UGUUGAGUAUUGACUGCCAUUUUUCCCCUC
rnacentral:piRNA from 1 species